rnacentral:rRNA from 1 species
CCUACGGGCGGCAGCAGUGGGGAAUAUUGGACAAUGGGCGAAAGCCUGAUCCAGCCAUGCCGCGUGUGUGAAGAAGGCCUUCGGGUUGUAAAGCACUUUCAGUGGGGAAGAAAGCCUUGGGGCUAAUACCCUCGAGGAAGGACAUCACCCACAGAAGAAGCACCGGCUAACUCCGUGCCAGCAGCCGCGGUAAUACGGAGGGUGCGAGCGUUAAUCGGAAUUACUGGGCGUAAAGCGCGCGUAGGCGGUCUGAUAAGCCGGUUGCGAAAGCCCCGGGCUCAACCUGGGAACGGCAUCCGGAACUGUCAGGCUAGAGUGCAGGAGAGGAAGGUAGAAUUCCCGGUGUAGCGGUGAAAUGCGUAGAGAUCGGGAGGAAUACCAGUGGCGAAGGCGGCCUUCUGGACUGACACUGACGCUGAGGUGCGAAAGCGUGGGUAGCAAACAGGAUUAGAUACCCUGGUAGUC